CGUUCAUCGAGUGCGAUCAGUGCGAUCGAGUAUACCGAAAGAAAGGCCUACUCAGAUGAGCUCGAAUUCUUUCUAUACGAAAAAUCAUACAAACCACGGUUCAUCCAUGCAGUUGAAACAGAAGGGAAUGUUCUGCUUUUCCUGUUCACACCUGUGUUGAAAGUUGGAGGUUGUGGGUGCAGUACAAACAGAUGUGAUAAAUUGGUAUCAUCAAUGAUGACCUCAGAUGUGAAUCAACACUUCCUCUUUUCUGAACAGACAGUUGGUAUAUUACAGUGGACACUGAAAGCCUAAUAAACUGCUUGCAGCAAGGAAGACAUCUGUGAGAUGUAAAAACUAAACUACACCACCUGAGAGAUAUUUAAAAAAUGUGGAGCAAAGUGGGACAGGAGUUGUAUGUGUCUUGUAAGUAAAAAACUUCAUUUCACAUAUGGUCUUUGCUCGUGCAGUUAGGAUGGCUUCUCGUGAUAUGCUGUUGAUGUUAAAUUGCAUGAAGACGGUGUUUACACGCAGUACACUAAUAUAUCUGGAAGGGCAAGAUUAGUUAAUUCCAUGGAAGAUGCGGACAUCGAGGAAACAUGAUGCCAGCACUAUAUGCCUUUGCUUCGCCUGCCACCUACCGGUAUCAUCAUUCAACUCGCAGACUACAAUCCAAUAACGAAACCAAUUCUGCCUCAGCCUUUAAGCAGCUGUAAUUCCCGUGUACUUUGGCUGAGAUAACUGUUAAAUAUGUUUAUUUUUAGAAAAAAAAAGUACUGGUGUUCGUUCAGUUCCAGAAAGUAGAAACUUUAAAAUAUGUUUUCAAUAUUGUGGUGAGGAAAGUGACAUAACUGAUGUACAGAAUUUAUUUACGUGUUUGUACUUUUGACGAAGUAGGCUGUACAUAUUAGAUAAAAAAUUAUAUUAAUUUGUACGGGAAAUGAGAGGGAAAGUUUCUGAUGAAGGUGGAUGUUUUAUUAUUAAGAUCAUACGGCAAAAAUUGUUUAGGUUUGUUUGGACAGGUAUUAGCUAUGAAUUUCAGAUUUACCGGCGACAUGGAGUAG